UUUAAUGAGACUGCCGGUGACAAACCGGAGGAAGUGGGGAUGACGUCAAGUCCUCAUUGGCCCUUAUGGGUAGGGCUUCACACGUAAUACAAUGGUCGGUACAGAGGGUUGCCAACCCGCGAGGGGGGAGCCAAUCCCAGAAAACCGAUCGUAGUCCGGAUUGCAGUCUGCAACUCGACUGCAUGAAGUCGGAAUCGCUAGUAAUCGCGGAUCAGCAUGUCGCGGUGAAUACGUUCCCGGGCCUU
rnacentral:rRNA from 1 species